UACGUAGGGGGGCAAGCGUUGUCCGGAUUUAUUGGGCGUAAAGCGCGUGUAGGCGGCCACGCAGGUCCGCUGUGAAAACUCGAGGCUCAACCUCGAGCUGUCGGUGGAAACCGCGUGGCUAGAGUCCGGAAGAGGGGACUGGAAUUCCCGGUGUAGCGGUGGAAUGCGCAGAUAUCGGGAGGAACACCCGUGGCGAAGGCGGGUCUCUGGACAGUUCCUGACGCUGAGGCACGAAGGUCAGGGGAGCAAACGGG
rnacentral:rRNA from 1 species